rnacentral:rRNA from 1 species
CCUACGGGAGGCUGCAGUGGGGAAUAUUGCACAAUGGGGGGAACCCUGAUGCAGCAACGCCGCGUGGGUGAAGAAGUACUUCGGUAUGUAAAGCCCUGUCAGCAGGGAAGAAAAUGACGGUACCUGACCAAGAAGCCCCGGCUAACGACGUGCCAGCAGCCGCGGUAAUACGUAGGGGGCAAGCGUUAUCCGGAUUUACGGGGUGUAAAGGGAGCGUAGACGGGAAGGCAAGUCUGGAGUGAAAGCCCGUGGCUCAACCACGGGACUGCUUUGGAAACUGUGUUGCUGGAGUGCAGGAGGGGUAAGCGGAAUUCCUAGUGUAGCGGUGAAAUGCGUAGAUAUUAGGAGGAACACCGGUGGCGAAGGCGGCUUACUGGACUGUAACUGACGUUGAGGCUCGAAGGCGUGGGGAGCAAACAGGAUUAGAUACCCCAGUAGUC